GCGAAGUCUGCCAGACUUGGCAGCGCACGAGGUCGCGAGGAAGCCGGUGGAAAUCCGGCACGGUCCCGCCACUGUUACCCCGUCGGGGGAGUCAGGAACUCGUCUCGUGCGAGUCGUUUCC
rnacentral:ncRNA from 2 species